UGGCCUUGUCAGUGUGAAGUGUUUCCCUUUAUUACUCUAUUUCAAAGCUAGUGAGAUUUCAUUGUGAACCAUAUUUUGGUGCCACAAUCAUAAAGAUUCAGGAUAUAGCCACCUCAAUCUUUCUGUUUCCUCUUUCAGCCCACAAAUCAGGUUGUACUUUACUGGCCAAUACUUGCAUCUGGAUAGAUGUAGGAUUGUUCUGAUCAUCUCUAUUUGAGGGUUUUGGCUGAAAAACAUCAGGUGCUUGCGGUGAAAUGUUGAUGCGAGGAAAAUGCAAAACUCACCUUUAUCUGGGCACCUCUGAUAGUUCCCGUACUUUAACAGUAUCUGCAAGAAGCUUUCUAAAACAUCUUGAUGACAGUCUAUAGUAUUUGGUGAUAGCAGAAUAUAGGACUGCGAAGC